rfam:Strigamia maritima strain Brora ctg7180001231030, whole genome shotgun sequence.
AUCGCUUCUCGGCCUUUUGGCUAAGAUCAAAGUGUAGUAUCUGUUCUUAUCAGCUUAAUAUCUGAUACAGUCCUCAUUGAGGGCUCAGAAUAUUAAACUGAUUUUUGGAACCAGAUGGGGUGCUCGGAGCUUGCUUCACCCCUGUCACGGGUUGGCCUGGUAUUGCAGUACCUCCAGGAUCGGCCCUCUCCUU